AUCUGCUGGCCUGAGAGAGUGACUGCAGACAAAUCCAUCCUUCAGCCUCUUUCAGGAUGUAUCAUGUUCAACAGAUAUGAAAGGACAUAAGGAAGGGGGAAUCAAUUCUCUUGCUGGCAUGAUGCCCCUUAUUUGGUGCUGUGGAAUAAGAAGGAUGUGAGAAAAAUAGGAACAGGAAAGCAGAAAAACGCUGUAGAGAGGGCAGACUGUCAGCAUAUGUAGAUCAUAAAUGCACAUUGAGUCAUCCCUAAUUUGGCAAGAUAUCUAUUGGAGGGAAAAUUAAUCUGAUAUUGCAUGCAGCAUUAACCAGUGGAGGGCAAGAAAAAGGAAAGGAAAUGGAGACAGCUACAGGCUGCGAAGACCUAAGAAGGUACACUGAGCCAGUGGAGAGGAGGAUGAUUCACAGGAACAGAGAAAGGAUUAAAUGACAAACAGCAUUCUCCAGCCCAGUGAUUCAUCUGGAAGAGAAGAGUUAUGGAUUCAGGUGCUUGUGCUACUUGUUUGGAAUUCAGUGUCUCAGUUUGGUCACAGCUGUAGACGGAGUAAGAAUAAGGCACUUUAUUCUCUCUGUUUAAUUCAGCAUUGUAGAUUUUGCUUAUGGAACAAGGUACCUGAAUUUGAAGCAUAGUGGCUUCAGCAAUACCUCUGGAGAUUUUGUCCUAGAUUCUUAAGCUCAUCGAAUAACCAAAAAAAAAGAAAAAAAAAAUUUAAAAUCAUAUCUCCAUGUCUUCUUGAAUGUGUGGUUCACUGAAGCUCACUUAAAUCGGACAUAAAUGCAUAAGAACAAAUUUUAGACAUUUUGUCAGCAUCUUCUUUGAAGGUGGCCUAAAUGGUCUUAUAACAGUUUUCACCUUCCUUUAAUUUGAUUUGCUGAUGAUUCCAAUAAUUUAAGGGAGAGGAAAAGCACACCUGAAAAUGAACAACGUGUAGCAUGUUCUCGACUGCAGUUUUGGUAUCUGCUUUAAAGGUAUUGCUUAAUCAUUAAAAAGCUAUUGGCAACAAAGUUGUAGAAAUGAAGGUUACUACUAAAACUGCCCUAAAAAUUGCAGAUAAGAGUGGUUUAAAACAGGACUGUAACAAUCAUAUAAGUCAAUUACUGGUAGCUGUACAGGUGAACGUUGUAGUAUGCCCGCUAGAAAAUGGACUCACACCUGCAGCUUCCUUAUCUUCAGGAUGCUUAAUUUACUGAGAUUUGUCCAACGUUGACAAGGAAUGAGAAUUGUGUGGUUGGAAAGGAAAUCAGAAAUAUCCAGUUUAAAACAAUAGCCAAGAACCUCAUGAAAAUGUGUGUAUUUCACUAAUAAACACUACUUCAAACCUGUUUGUGAAUAUAUAUUUCAUUCGACUUUCUUGGCACAAGAUUAGCCUUUCUGGUCUAUUUAUGUGAAGUAUGUGAGUAAAAGGUCAACAGCAGCAAAUCCAAGUAUCAGCUACAUAUUUCAUACACUCCUUUUCAACACAUCUAAUGCUAUCUCUAUUCCUCACAGCUAUUCCAUUUUGUACCAAGUAAAAGACUAGUGGAAGAAGAACUACCCAAUACUUUCCAGUCCCUAAAAUUGCCACCCUUAUACAAUUUCAUUUAAGACAACGAUUUUGACAGUUUCUUCCCCUUUGUUAGGUCUCGUCAUAUUGCUAGGCUGCUGCUUAUGUUCUUUCACACAGCACUCAUAGAUUUGAACCUUCUUCGGUAUGACUGUGCAGCAGCUUUGGCUCUGGACAAAGCUUUUCUUGCAACAGGCUUUCCAUUUCUUCACAGACAGGAUGGGGCAGUCCAGAUCCCAUAGACACAUGAGAGCAAAACAGGGCUCUUUUCUAUCCCCACCCCUUUUCCAGAGCUUCGACUUUGUCAGCAUGCUGGAUUUACAAUUUAUAUCUGCUAGGACAUACAGUAUUUAAAACAACCAGGCAUUUUGCAGCAAUUCUAAAAGCCAGUCACUUUUUUUUUACCCUGGCUAGCACAAAAAAUACGUUGAUCUAAACAAAAUAGCACAUACGUACGCAACCUCAGAAUCUCACAAGUGCUCUUGCUUCUAUACCAUCAGCUGCAACAGAAGGCUAAAGAAUAGGAAAAACAUUCCUGAUGGAAAGAUGUGCUCCAGUUCCUUUCAUAACUCGUUACACCUUUGUAAGUCCUUUCAAUUCUGCUCCUACUUAAACUCAACAGUUUUGAGGAUUUGGCAAAGCAUUAAGACCUGAGCUAUUUUUUCUCCUGCUGAAAAUCUUCUGGUUGGUAAAGUCAAGUUUCCUAUUGUGAAGGAAAAGAAAGCUUUUUUUAUUUUUUUAAAUGGGAUAUUUUAAGAUGCUCCUACAUAACCAAGAGCUAUCAAAAUUCAGCAACAAUAUUUAAUGCUUGGCAUAGAAACAGCCCUGAAAAACGUCACUGACAUACAGAGCACAUACACCAUUGUGACAAUGUCCUAAUCUUUGUGAAUUAUGGGAUCUCAACCAGAAUUCACAAACUGUACACAGACUGAAUCUCCAGACUGUCAGAAAUACACGUAAGUAGUAUCUAACUUUAUCUUGAAAAGGUCCUUAUCUGUUACGAAUUACAGUACAUUGCCUCACAGCUCUAUUACAGCAUUCAGAAUUGUUUCAUUAUUUCAGAUCAUUGAAUACUACAGCUUAUACGACACUCAGGAGGCCUUUUUCAGGAAAAACAAAAGAUAAUUCCUGUCACAGGUAGCUUAUUAUCCCUGCCCUUAUAUCGAACACAACUGUUACGGGACUCCAAAACUUCAGUAUUGCAUCAUGGUUCAUAAUGUAGGCUUUCUCACUGAUGUACAGAAGUUUAUGGCAGCCUUCACAAAUGAAGUUUUAUUAAGCUGAGUUUAAAACAUGAAGAAGCAAAGACUUGCCAAGUGAGUUCAAACAAAGCUGGUGGUAGAAGCAGACACGUAGCACCGGAUUUUGAGUUCCAACACCUUUGCUUACAUGCUAGGAGACUGAACCUUCUCUUUCAAACAGUUAGAAAACGAUAGCGGCAGCAAAUCAGUCUUUGUUCAACCAAAGCUACAGAAUUCUUUUUUGUGCAAAAUUAGAUCUCUCCGGACACUAUCUCUUCAAGCAUACAUGAUGUAUGCAGUUUGUCUUUUUUCUAAAAAACAAGAAACAUUAGUCAAUUCAGCAGAAAGAGUGCUUGUGGAUUCCUGUGGGCUCAUAUCAUCACAAAAGGAACUGACUAGUUUGAUCCAGACUGUAUGCAGGUGAUGAUAUGUCCAUCCUGCUGAUUCUGAUUUAAUAAGCAGCUUCAAUUGGCUAUAAAAUAAAAACCUGCAUCUUUAUGGGUCUGGGCGCUUUUUUUGUUUGUUUUGGGGUUGUUUUUUUUUUUUUUUGUUUUAGUUUUGGUUUUUUGUUGUUGUAAGUCAUGCACAUUGAGAAUCAGAAUGCUUUGUCAGAUAAUGCUUUCAGUUGAUGCUUUUGGAGACUUGAAUGCAUGUAGCUCCUGACAAUGAUUAUAUGCACGUGUUCCAUAUAAUUCCAAAAGCACACCCAUUAUGAAAGAUUAGUACAGUUGUGCUUAUGAUGUAUUUAGGUCGUCUGUUACUGAAUAUUUCUACUGUCAGUACAACAAAAGUGUGAUGAUCACAGUUAAAGCUUAACAAAGAAAAUGCUGUCAGGCAAUUAGUAAGCUGAAGUCAGCAGUACUAAAGUGAAAUAUAUCAUGUUUGGAAUAGCGGAGUGGUUUGCUUGUGAUAAAUGUUGAAACAGGUCCUCAUACACAAAACAUAUCCUAGCCUUGG